AUCAAUUUUUGCAUUUUCAGAUUUAAGUUUAAUCUCACGUAAAAUAUAUAUUUGAGAUCAUUAUUGUAUUUACUACACUGUGAAGUUUACGUUCGUGUUUUUGUGUUUGAAUUGAAGACAAGAUGGUUAUGGCAAUGCAUGGAGCUACACAAGUCUUACAGCACACUCUUCCUUCUGCGGGAGGAAUUAGAGGAUGUGGCAACCCUGCCAAUCCUUUUGGAUUUCAAGUUGUCAACAAUGUAAUCCCCGUUGCCACAAAUACAAGUCAUUUGCCAAUGGAGUCUCCUGUAAUGCAACUUAAUGGUUUUAUUCCGCCACAACCGCCAUGUUCACAACACAUUGUUACGUCACAAUCUCGUCCAUCAAUCUGUGGAACUCCAUCGAAUAUCAGCAUGCAUGAAUUGCCAGACAAGGACGAUGACGCUGUCAAGCUUUUUAUUGGUCAAGUUCCUAAACACUGGACGGAAAGCGAUUUGAGACCAAUUUUUGAGCCGUACGGAGAAAUUUACGAACUGUCUGUUCUGCACGAUAAAUACACAGGAAUGCAUAAAGGAUGUGCGUUCCUCACUUACUGCCAGAAAUCUUCAGCUAUCAAAGCACAGAAUUUUCUUCAUGAACAGAAGACUUUGCCCGGGAUGAACCACCCCAUGCAAGUAAAGCCUGCUGACACUGUGAAUAAAGGAGAAGACAGAAAACUUUUUGUUGGAAUGCUCGGUAAGCGACAAACUGAAGAUGAUGUCAGAAAAAUAUUUGAAAAGUUUGGUCACAUCGAGGAAUGCACUAUUCUCAGAACUCCUGAUGGACAAAGCAAAGGUUGUUCAUUUGUGAAACUGUCAUCCAAUGCUGCUGCCAAAGCUGCCAUUGAAUCUCUGCAUGGAAGUCAAACUAUGCCGGGAGCGUCGUCGAGCAUCGUUGUAAAACUUGCUGACACAGACAAGGAAAGAGCGAUUAGAAAAAUGCAGCAAAUGGCUCAGAACUACGGCUUGAUUAGCCCAGUGACUCUGCAACUUGGACCAUAUGGAACCCCCUUGCCACAGAUGGCUCAACACCCUAUAGUCGCUGCCCCCGGAGUCAUGCCUACUGCUGGUUGGUCUCCUGUUGCCACAGCCCUUACAACUGCCACACAGCUGGGCCAUCUCACCCAUGGAUCUGUAAUGCAAACUGCCAAUGGUCCAACUCAAAUCGCAGGAAUUCCAAGCACUCCGCAAAGUCCUGUUGCAUCCAUCACAACUUUGAAUCUCGUUCCACCACCUAUUGUCUCCCAAGCCAACGGACUGGCAACCCCACAAGAAGCUCUUUAUCCUUUACAGGCCUACCCAGGUACUAGGCUAGCCCCUGUGACCACCGCAAGUGCUCAUAGCAUGAAUGUGCAAAAUGGAUCCCCUGACACUGUCAGUAUUUGUGCAUCUCAAACUCCACCAACCAUGGAGAUGAUGCAGCCACCAAGCUACGCACAACCAUACACAGUUGUGUAUGUGCCACCAGGACAAUACGCUCAAGUACCAGCCCCCCAACACAUUGCUCAGCCCCCACUGACCCCAAUUACACCCACUCAAGCCGCACCAGCUGUCAUCAGCAGCCCGACUGCACCACAGAAAGAAGGUCCGGAAGGUUGCAAUCUUUUCAUUUACCAUCUUCCACAAGAGUUCACGGACGCUGAUCUUGCAAAUGUUUUCCAACCUUUCGGAAAUGUUAUUUCUGCAAAAGUGUUCAUUGAUAGAGCAACGAACCAGAGCAAGUGUUUUGGAUUUGUAAGUUACGACAAUCCAGUCAGUGCUCAGACUGCAAUCCAGACCAUGAACGGAUUCCAGAUCGGAAUGAAAAGACUUAAAGUCCAGUUGAAGAGACCAAAGGAGCAAAGCAGACCAUACUGAUUUAUGAAUUUGUUCCAGUGUAACCACAUUCCAAUAAAUUUAACUAUGUUAAAUUUGAGUUAGUCGGAGAAUAUGCCUCUCUGGUGACAUACAGUGACGAAAAAGUGAAGGCGAGUUAGAGUUCAACUAUGGAAACAUUCCACAACAGUACUACGAAGAAGAAUCAUUCAUCCUCUCGUUAAUCAAUUUUUAUUUCUUUAUUACGACGGUACUUUUAAAUUUCGAAGCUGUCUAUUUUAUUUAUUUCUUGAAUUGACUUGCUAAUAUGAUAUUGUAUACAUUAAUGAAAUGCUUUACAACUUUUUAUGGUUCGUUUUUCUUUCAAGUCUUUUAUCACACCCCUUAGUAAGGUAAGGGUUAAUUUUCAUGGAUUUUAAAUAAUAUAAUUAAAGAAUUUUUCACUUGUACCAUGACACAAUAAUAACCCUUACUUAAUUUGUCAUGUAAUGUCUAAUGAGCCAAUUAGUAUAUGUGUAAGGUCUGGUCCAAAUUCUGCCACUCAGAAUUUUUCACCACUGGGAGUCAGUGGACCACGACUGGCCAGAAUAAUCCUCUUUCAAAAAGAAACACUAUGGAUAGUCAACAGGCCAUGACUUGACAGAAUAAUCCUCUUUCAGAAAUGAACAUUAUUGGUAAUCAACAGACCAUGACUGGCCAGAAUAAUCCUCUUCCAAAAAGUAACACUACUGGGAGUCAAUAGACCAUAACUAGCCAGAAUAUUCUCUUUUCAAAAAUGAACACUAUUGGUAAUCAAUGGACCGUGACUGGCCAGAGUAAUCUUCUUUCAAAUAGGAAUUAGUGGUGAUCAGCAGACCAUAACUGGCCAGAAUAAUUCUGUUCCAAAAGGAAUGUAACAGUUAUGUAGUUUUAUGCUUCAUUGAUUUACUUAUUAGCAUUUGGCAACUAGUGAAGUGAAUAGGAUUUGACUUGUUUCUAUUUUGCUGUUAGGAACCAGACCAUUUAUCCUCUCUUAGGCCCGAAACUGUGUUUUUUAAACUAAAUAUAUCACCUGUUACAUUGAUUAUUGAAUUACAUUUAACAUUUUGCUUUUUAUUGUUGCAAAAAGUUUUCCAAAACUUUGAUGGUACUUUUAUUUUUCAUUUUAUUUGUGAUAACCCAAAUGGUUCUGGAGGUUUCAUACCCAGUUCGGUGCUGUGAUAUUUUAAAUAAGUUGCACAAAAUUGAUGUCGGCCACUGAUAAUUAGUUCAAAUUUUUUGUGACAGCUUUUUUGCACAAAACAUGUUUACUCGUUUUAUUUGGGCAGGCAAAAAUUCUAAUGUGUAUCAAUUUCAAUGCUGCAAAUCAUAUUUAAAUCUCCAUUGAAGCGUGUCGAUGUUAAAUGAAGCGUGAUAUGAUAAAUUGAGUAAAUGAAGCAAGCAUUUGUAUUUCAAUAUUACUCCAUGUAUUUGGAUUGCUGGCUAUUUGGAAUUUAAUGAGAGGCUUCAGCUGUUUUAUCAGCUUUCCUCUCCUCCUGCAUAGAUAUAAAAUCAUUUGACAAAUUUUGACGGGAGAAUCUAAUUAUCUUAUAGGCUUUCCUCUCCCUCGGACCCAAGUAUAAUUGUGAAAUUGUGAAAUAUAAUUGUGAAAAAAAUAUACAAUUUUAUGCUCAAACUAUCUCAAUCAUACAUUAGAAACAGCUAAAGCACUGUCUUUUUUAAAUAAUUGACGUACUCUUCAAAGCCCAUGAAGUCAAUUUUUUUUUUUUUCGAAAUGUACAUAAAUCAUUUUGUUUUUAAUAUUUCUUUCUUUCAACUCAUUUAAUUAUAAAGUUUUUACGCUUGUUUGUUUCUUAUUGCCGCAUGGUACUGAAUCUUAAACACCUGAUAAAAUUUCGUCAUUCCACAAUUUUUUGCUCUUUAAUAUCUAUUUUUUCAAAGACAAUUUACAUAAUGUGAUGUAAUAAUAACUUAGAUUGAUUGUGCUGCAAGGUUCUUAAUUAUCUUCCCAUAUGUCUUUGUUAUGACAUCAUAUGAUGUAAUAAAGGGCUUGUCGUCAUAUAUACAAAAUAUGAUGUACCAAUAAAUUUUCAGGCUUUGAGGGGGAAUUCCCCGUUGACCUUCUCCCAAGUGAGCCAGUUAACUCAAUGUGUGCUAUCUCGGUAAUUAGUUUUCUACUCUGCAACUGAAACGGGAAUUAUCAUCAGCUUUCUUCUCCCAGAGUGAAAUCCCAACAAAUUUAUUGAUGACUUUUUUUGCUCUUUUUACCUAUUAUUUUUAUUCUUUUUUGCUGCUUUGAAUCAUGCUUUUAUGCUUUGUUGCAAGUCUUUGGACCAAAAUCAUUCUAUAAACAGAGUUUUUGUUUUCUUUUCUUAUGGGGCGGACACAAUUUUGCUGCUGUCAACAUUGGUGUAUUGAAUAUUUUCUGAGAUGGGGUAUGAAAAAGUGUUACUUUUCAAUAAAUAAGUCUUCAAAUUUCGAAACAUUAACUUGUUAGCUAUUUCCUUCCUGUAGGCCUCAUUCUAUAAGAUAUAGGGUGUCCAUGAAGUCUUGAGAAUUUUUGAAAUUGCCAGGAAUUUACCGAUACCCUAUAUUGGCCCUCACGGAUGUAAUAAAUGAAGUAAAAAUACUUGAACAAUAAUUAAUUAAAAAACAAUAAACCUGGUGAGAUAUACUGAGAAAUGACUUCAUAACAAUUGAAGUUGUAAACGGACUUUAUCUUGUUAUCAGUCAAGACUUUAUUUCUGAUUUAUUUUUUUUUGACUCUGGUUAUUGGAUAGGAUUUACAUAUUUAUUCCGUUAGGUUGAGGUUAUUGGCCUAUCAAUCUGUUUCCUUUAAUUUUGUUUAGGUUAGGUUGGUUUGGAUUGCCAUAAAACCAGAAUGUAAUAAUAUCUAACGUUUGAUAACCAAGGUAAAAAGCUAAUUAGACUGGGUGGGCCAAGAUCAGGAUUCUGUUAGAACCCUCUUUCCAUGAUAAAUAUCCUGUAUUCACGGAAUCAGAUAAGAUGUCUUGUAGCAAUUCCUAAUGCUGCCUCAAGUCAUUUUGUAUAUAUUGUACAUAUAUUGAAAAUCACACUACAACAUAAAAUAGAGUAAAUUUAAAGCAUUUUCAAGUAUUGCUUGCAACUGGACAAAACGGGCGCCUCUCAGCUUGAAUUUCCAGUUUGUUUUAGAUUAGAUACAACUUGGAAAUCCCAUUAAAAUUUGCUAAAUUUUUCUUGUAGUUUUGACUGUUAUUGCUGUCGCUAAUGAUUAUGAAAUCAUUAUUCAUUUUAAGACAGCUUUGUUCCUAAUUGUGACGUCAGACGUGCAAUUUUUUCACUUUUAAUGAAAAUGACUUUUUUUCUUUUUACCAGUUCGAUCUCGUGUUAAAAUCCAGUAUUUUGCACAAAAAUGGUUUUUGGAUUGUAUAUAUUCAUUUCUUUGAAAUUUUAAAUAUAAGAGCGUACUGGGUAGGCAUUUUUUUGAUUAUAGGAAACAUUUCCUAUUUUUUUCUGCUAAUAAAUAAGAUCGCAAAUA